GCUGGGCGCGGUGGUGUAUGCCUGUAAUCCCAGCAGCUCGGGAGGCUGAGGCAGGAGGAUCCCGAGUUCAAAGCCAGCUUCAGCAACUCAGAGAGACACUAAGCAACUCAGUGAGACCCUGUCUCUA
rnacentral:sRNA from 1 species